CAACCUCUCUCGAUUCUCUCCAUAUCUUCUUCUUCUUCGUCCAUUCCUUUCUUCUUCGUCUCAGUUUGAGAAUUUCCAGAGGCUCUGUGACUUCCACUGGCUACCAAAGCAACCCCAAAGCUCCAUUCACUCUUACAAGCCUCAGCCUAGGGUCAAAACCACAAAAGACAGAUUCUAAAGACCCAAUAAAUCCCAUUUCGACUCUCCACUCUUACAUGAUCGAAAACAAGGCUCCUCCAACCAGACAAACUACGGCCGACCACCAUAUUUUGGUGACCACUCCACGCUCUGACUACUAACAGAGGCGACCUAUAAGGCCAUACCCUAAACUAGCCACCUUGAUUCCAUCUUUAUAACACACUAAACAAAACCCUUAGCACUAAACAAACACCCUGAACAAACAAAAGCUUCGACCCCUCACUUCGGUAACAUCCCGAGACCGACGGGACUCCGACACUGCUUCAACCUCGGUAAAGACUCCAACUCAAGGCUAAUAGCCCGAACAGAGAAAAAAUGGAAUCAACAAGAAUCCACUUGAAUUCAAACAACCCAUGUCUUGGUUGGUACAAGCUGAGUCAGCAUGGGCGCUCGUGGGUGGCCAACAUGUAGUGGUGGUGGGAUGUGCACGAGCUGCUGCUCAGUUGGAGAGAUCCACGUAGGAGGCAUGGAUGACUGUGGUAGAGUUGCUGCCACCGGAUCGGGUCUUGUAACAUGUGCGAUUUCAGUUGUGGAUGAGUUUGGAUCAAUAAAGGCGGGCACAUAAAAGGAGAUGAACAGUCACAUCAAAUGCAAGCAUGGAAAAAGGAUCAAGAAUAUCAAUCAGUUUGUCUUCCAUUUAUGUAAAGAAGUGUUUGGGUCUUGAAAUCAAUUAGAUAUUAUUCCUUUAUCUCUUAGUUUUUCGAAACCUUUUGUUACACAUCAAUCCAAUAUCGGGAGCCUGAGAUAUGAUCAAUUUAUUAGAGAUA